AGGGAGACAAACAACGAUUUUGAUGUCUGAGUUAUUUAUUCUUAGGCCAAAAUCCUGUCACCUUAGGUCGAUCGGUACCUCAACUUUGAAGCUAAGAGAGUUCCAGCAAUGGUUGUCUGCUUAGUGGAGAUUUUUAGUUCCUAAACUUUGUCUAGUUCACAACCCAUUAGGGAUGAGACUCCUGGGCCAUUAGCUCAGGUGGUUAGAGCGCACCCCUGAUAAGGGUGAGGUCCCUGGUUCAAGUCCAGGAUGGCCCAUUCGGUGUAGGGGGUUUAGCUCAGUUGGUAGAGCGCCUGCUUUGCAAGCAGGAUGUCAGGAGUUCGAGUCUCCUAACCUCCACUGACUGCAAAGAAUCCCCAUCUCCAAAACCUGGAGUAUGAACUCGUAUGGAUUGUGAUUUAGAUAUGUCCGCUAGAUGACCCUAGCUUCUUGUCAUUUUAAGGCAUGGAAAUGAUUCCAUGAUCUGAUUGAUAGGAU
rnacentral:tRNA from 1 species